UGUUGUAACUUCCUCCUCGUAUAUAGGUUAUAGAUAAGUCUUACAAUUUUCUUAGUUCAUCUCUUUUCUGUAGAAGUUGUACAUAAUCUUUAUAUACUUAGUUUACAAUCAAUAAAACAUAUCGUUCCUUUCAUUCUAAAGGCAAUUUUAUACUUUAUAUGUCCACAAAUUGAUGGAAUAUUCAUAUAGAGGUCAAAAUUCUCAUUGGACUUGGACCUGAAUUCUGUUAAAUAUGAGCUUCUAUUUAUGCAAGAGAUUCUACUAUCUCUUAUCUAGAAUUUUAUGAGAAGCUAGUUGAUCGUGAACUUUUCGUCAAGCAUGAAGAAUCAAAGAAGCCACUCUCAACGCCCAUUACUGCUGCUAUUGCACAACAAACAAACAUGCAUCCUCGCUAAAGAAAUAACUCUAAUAGGCGUUCAAAUGAAAAUUCCCCCAACACCAACCAGUCAAGGGGUUUCCAGCCAUGGCAUGCUAGCAACAAUAACCAAUAACAUCUUUAUGACCACACUCUGAAGUGCCAGUUGUGUGACCGCCCUGGUCAUUCUUCUAAGGUUUGCAGCUCACAAUCACACGAUCACAUACGAGACCGGGCAAACAAUACUGCUUGAUAUCCAACUCAAUAGGCUCCUUGGAUUGUUGAUACAGGCGCCACUCAUCAUAUGGCCUCCAAUGCCCAAAACUUCACUGAUAUGCACACCUACCAUGGUCCAAAGGAGAUAGUAAUCGGGGAUGGUAGCACCAUUCCAAUAUCUCAUACUGGAUCUGAGUACGGGGGCGUCUCUAUUUCGUGAGCAGAUUCGAGAUGGGCUAUACGAGUGGCAAUCGGGCAGUGCACAUCAUACCCCUCAAUGGAAUGUUUUUGUUCCUCUAUACUUGUGGCAUCGGCGUUUAGGCCGUCCAAAUAAUUGUACUUUAAACACGAUUUUACAUCAUUUUUCUCUUCUAAUUUCAAUUUGUAAUUCGUGUUAUUCUAAUAAAAUGCACAGGUUACCUUUUUCUCAAAA